AUGUGCAUGCAGAUGACUGGUCUAACACAGGACUGCAAGCAUUCUUCAUCUGGCUCUAGAGACAUGCCCACAGGUUAGAGAAAACACUCUCUAUGAAUAGCCAACAGCCACAGGCCAAGGUAUGGUUAGGUCUAAAUCAAACCAACUUCCUUGACAAUUCCAGCUGGUGGG